AUACCAUAAUAAGGACAUCUCUUAAGUAACUCCUUGAAUCUUUCUUAUGCAUCAUACAAACUCUCAUCUUCAAGUUGAUGGAAAGAUAUGAUCUCAUUCCUUAAUUU
rfam:Citrus sinensis cultivar Ridge Pineapple sweet orange scaffold00835_contig_7, whole genome shotgun sequence.